GACGAACGCUGGUGGCGUGCUUAACACAUGCAAGUCGAACGGGCAGUAGUAAACAGCAGCCUCGGUGGAAGAUUACUAAUGAGAGUGGCGAACGGUUGAGUAACGCCUUAGCAACCUGCCAAAGCCAGGGGGAUAGCCUCGGGAUACCGGGAUAAAUACCGCAUAAAAUCGUAGAAACACAUGCUUCAACGGUGAAAGAUUUAUCGGUCAUAGAUGGGCUGGCGUCUGAUUAGCUAGUUGGAGAGAUAACAGCCCACCAAGGCGACGAUCAGUAGACGGUCUGAGAGGAUGAACGGAGACACUUGCACUGAGACACGGUCGGAAAUCCUCCGGGAGGCAGCAGUGGGGAAUAGUGCACCAUGGGGGAAACCAUGAUGCAGCGACGACGCGUGAACGAAGAAGGUAUUCGUAUCGUAAAGUUCUGUCCAAUGGGAAGAUAAUGACAGUACCAAAGAAGAAAGCUCCGGCUAACUACGUG
rnacentral:rRNA from 1 species